UUACCUCUUCGCUUGGGUGUAUUCUCCCUC
rnacentral:piRNA from 1 species